GGUGAAUGCUGGCGGCGUGGAUAAGUCAUGCAAGUCAAGGGGGCCCGCAAGGGCAACCGGCAAACGAGGUAGUAACACGUAGGUAGACCCCCCAGAGUCGGGCAUAGCCAGCCGAAAGGUUGGGGUAAUUCCCGACUAGUCCCGAAAGGGUAAAGGUUUUUCGUCUCUGGGAGGUUGCCUGCGUAGUAUCAGCUAGUUGGUAGGGUAAUGGCCUACCAAGGCUACGACGCUUAGGGGAGCUGAGAGGCUGACCCCCACCGAUGGAACUGCGACACGGUCCAUACUCCUACGGGAGGCUGCAGACGAGAAUAUUCCGCAAUGGGCGAAAGCCUGACGGAGCAAUGCCGCGUGUGGGAUGAAGCGACUCUGACGUGUAAACCACUGUCAGGGGUUGGAAACAAUGAUCGACCCCAAAGGAAGUGGCGACUAACUCUGUGCCAGCAGCCGCGGUAA
rnacentral:rRNA from 1 species